rnacentral:misc_RNA from 1 species
UCGCACCUUACGGUGGCAGUGUCGCCAGAGUCCCCACCCGAAGUGAUGGUAACUGGCGAAAGGGGUUGCGCUCGUUAUGGCACUUAAGCCGACACCUCACGGCACGAGCUGACGACAACCAUGCAGCACCUCCACAGGGGUCAUUGCUGACCUCAACAUCUCUGUAUCGUUCCCCUGCAGUUCAAGCCCGGGUAAGGUUCCUCGCGUAUCAUCGAAUUAAACCACAUGUUCCUCCGCUUGUGCGGGCCCCCGUCAAUUCCUUUGAGUUUCACCGUUGCCGGCGUACUCCCCAGGUGGGAUGCUUAACGCUUUCGCUUGGCCGCUUACAAUAUAUCGCAAACAGCGGGCAUCCAUAGUUUACCGUGCGGACUAC